CUGCAGAGGCUGCUACAUGCAAAGGAGUAUGGAAAAAAGGUACAUCAUCGAUACGCUGAAAAACAUAUGGAUCAUUCAGAAUUAACUCAUACAAGAUGUUUAUGUCUCCUGUUUGUGCAGCACCUAUCAUCCUCUCAUCCAUAGCAAGGUGCGGAAAUUUGCAGAAUAUAGAAAUGGAGUGAAGAAAAAACGCUUUAGCAGACGAUGUGAUUAUGUUAAGGAUAUACUGAAGUGUUUGAUUAUUUUUUCCAGAUGGAGUGUGUGACAUUUUAUAGCACUUAAUUAUUUUGGAUUUAUAUGUGAUGUCAGCCACUACACGUAUACAUGUGAAUGUCACCUAUUAGAAAGAAAUAGUAAUUAUAUUUAGUAAUUAAAUUCAUAUUUAAUAUAUAUUUUUAAUCUAAUUUUUUAACUCAAUUUAAUUUUAGUUAAAACGUUUAAAAACAUUUAUUUAAUUUCUUUAAUAUAUUAAAUAAAUUGAAUUAGAGAAUAUAUUAAAUAUGGAUGAAUACUAUAUCAUACUAAUUUUAUGUCUCUAAAAAUUAAUAAGGUGUCAUUAUUUUAUUGGUGCUUAAAAAAUUAAAAUAUUUAGAAUCAUCCUAAUAUAAGUUAUUCUAUUAAUAAUAAUAUUUUGUACUCCCACGAGUAAGUUCAAUAGUUUGACAAAUAUCUUAUAAAAGUAUAGUAAAAUAUAAAAAAAAUUAUUUAGUGACUUAAUUUUUUAAGAACAUUUGAUAAUUUAUAAAGAAAAUAAAUAAUAAUUUUUUUCAAUAAAAAAAGUGUGAAAAAAUGAUAAGUAGAUAAUAACUAUUAUCACUUACAACAUGUUUGGAUUAAAAAGAUAGAAAAAAGGAGGGAAAAUUAAGUAAAAUGAGGGAAAGAAAAUUCGGUUUCUUUGUUUAAGUUAAGUAAAUAUCGUAUUAUUAGAUUUUAUAUUUUAGGGUCUGUUUGAUUGAAGGAAUUGAUUUUCCGGAAAAUCAUUUCCAACUUUUCCAGCAUUUGAUUGGCGGAAAACAUUUUCCAUUUGGAAAAUGAACUCCAAAACAUGGGAAAAUGGGUUACAUUUUAGGGAAAAUGUCUUACCCUUUCAAUUUCCGUAAGACAUUUUCCGUGCUCUCCUCUCUAUCGCCUCAUUCAUUCCUUCCUUCAUUUCCGGUAAAAAAUUGUUACUGUUUAUCGAUUUUCUAGUAACUUGUUUUUUUAAUUAUUCAAUACUUGUUUUUUUAACACAAUUACAAAUAAUUUAUUUGAUAUUAAUUUUUUUCAAUUUAUAAUGAUUAAUAUUGUAGCUUAAUAAUUGAGUAUUAUUAUAAAUAAAUCAUUGCAAUAUAUGUAAAAAUAAUUUAAAAUAUAAAAAAUUAUUAAUAUAUAUCAAUAUAUGUAAAAACAAUUUUUUCGAAAAAUAUUUCCAAGAAAUCUGCCAAACAGCCGAAAAUAUUUUACACAGAUUUAAUCAAACACCAGAAAAUAUUUUCCACUAAAUCAUUUUACAGAAAAGUAAAAUAUUUUCCCGAAAUCAUUUUACGGAAAAUAUUUUACUGGCAAUCAAACAGACCCUUAGAUUAUUAUCUCUUCUUCUUCUUCUUCUUUUAACUUGUAACCAUCUUAUUUUUAUUUUUUAUUUGUUUAGGUUACUAGAAAUAUUUAAUUUUAAAUUUGUUUGAUAUAUAUUUUUAAAAAUUUUAACAAUAUUUUUUAUUAACUAUUUUGUUAAAUUAUUAGGAAUCCUUCAUUUGUAAUUUGGUUAGGAUAUAUUUUUUAGUUUGAUCAAAUAAGCUUAUUUAAAAAAAAAGAGAAUAUACCAAUAUAUUAUUGGUUAACAUUUUAAUUAUUAUUUUAUAUAGACUAUUGAUAUUGUUCUAUAAUUUUAAUUUGCUGUGAUUUAAUUUUGUUAUUAUAUAUUAUUUAUGAACUGUUAAAAUUAAAAAAUAAAAGUAAAAUAAUUCAUUUUCUUUCCUUUUCACAGUUUAGCAAAACAAGUCCACAAGGUCGCCCCAUUCAACAAAAAUUAAAUUGUUUAAAUAUAUAUAUGUAUAUAGGGACUAGUUUUAACAAAUGAAAAAUAUAGAAAAACUACAUUAAAAAAAUGGAGAAUGGAGGAAAACAGAGGGAGAAGCAGAAGACAAUAAAAAAUAAAGGAAAGUUAAAAGAACAUAAAAAAAAUUAAAUUGAAUUGCUCAAAAUGAAAAAAAUAUGGGGAUCAGUUGUAUAAAUCACCCUAAAUUUUUUGUUUGAAAGAUGAUUUAACAUGUCACAUCAGCUUAUCGUUAUAUGGUUAACGGAAAUUAACAGCUCAGUGACUAAAAUGUUACAACGCGAUAACGUAAGUGACUAAAAUGUAACAUUUCAAACAUAAAUGACUAAAAUGUAAGCAAAAGUGACUAUUUUAAUAAUUUACCCUUACAUUUAUCUAAACAUACUCUUAAUGUAAACAUUUUUCAAUUAUUUUUAUUUCAUUUUAUUUUUAACCAUUAUCCAUUAUCCUUACUUUAAAAAGUAUAAUUAAUAAAUCGUAUAAUUAUUUUUCAAAAUUAAUUUUAAGUAAUACACCAAAUAGAUUUUAUAACUUAAAUUUAAUAUUUAAGUUUAUAAUAUUUUUUUAUCAAACAACAUUUACUCCUAAGUAAAUAAAUAAAUAAAGGCCUUGUGUAAUUAAGAAAGUUGAGAAAGGGUUAAUCCUCACAUGGAAAAAAUUGGCUACAAUAAUGAAGGAAAGAGAAAAACACUAAGGAAUAUCCAAUAAUUGGGAGGCAAUAUGUCAAUUAUGAGCAUACCCCAUACUGUCAAUGGUGAUGGAUGAAUUGUCUACUAUACAUGGAUUUUGUUUUCCCUUUUUUUUUUCUUUUUUUUUUGUUCUUGUCCUGUAUUAUUUGGAUUUGAGAUCCCAAGCUAUGUAUGUCAUCACAUUUUAAAUAUAUAUAUAUAUUUAUUAUGUAUUGAAUAUCAGUUUUAUUGGUAUAAAUAUUAUUGUUAAUGUAUGAGAAUAUAGGUUCAAGUGUGCACUACACCAAAACAGGCUUUUAGCGGCGUUUUGAGCGAAGACGCUGCUAAAAAUCGAGAAAUAGCAGCGUUUUAGGAAAAGCGCCGCUAAAGAGUGAGCAUUAGCGGCGUUUAAGUAAAAGUGCCGCUAAAGAGUGAGCAUUAGCAGUGUUUAUAAAAAACGCCGCAAAUAAUACACCUAGACGGUGCCGUUUUAUGUCCUUUCGGGGGAAUUAGUGGCGUUUUUUGUAAAGCGCCGCUAAGGCUAAGACUUUUAGUGGCGUUUUUUGAAAAUCGUCGCUAAUCUAGGUGUUUUAGCGGCGUUUUUUGUUUAUGCGCCGCAAAAAUAAUUUAUCUUAAUUGAACUAUUAUUUAUAUUGUUUAAAUCAAAUUAAACAUAUUUCUAAUAGAAUAUUUAAAAUCUUCAAUAAAAAAUUACAGGUAUAAAUAAUUUGAAAUAAAACACAUGGAAAAAUUAAAAUAGUAUUAUUUAAAAUAAUUUUAAAGUUUGUUGGGUACAUUACUGAUUGUUUUUUAAUUUAUAUAUUAAAAAUUUGAAAUUAUUAUCGUAAUUAAAAGAGAUAGUAUUAAUUUAAAUUUAAAAUAUUGAAUUAAGCGUAUCACUAUAGUUAAUAUAGGGUUUUAGGUUUUAGGGGUAUAUAUAUGAUAUUAUUAAUUUAAGAUUUUAAGUCGAUUUAGGGGUUACUAUUUUAAGGUUAUUAUUAUAAUUGAUCAGGAGUAUAUAUAUAAUAUUUGAUUUAAGGAUAUGGUUUAAGGGCUGAGAUAUAAUGUUUAGGGGUUAGGGCUGGGGUUAGCACUUAGGGGCUAUUAAUUAGGAGUUAAUUAAGGAUUUAGGGUUUAGUUAGGGGUUGGGUUAGGGAACGUAGGGUUUUAGAUUAAUUAGUAUUGCCAAAUUAUAUUUUAAAUAUGUUCUUAUAUAUAUAAUUGUAAAAGAGGUAAUAAUAAAUUUGUUUAGGAUUUUUCGGUUCGGUAUAUGAUUUGGUUUCGGUAUAUUAUUAAUUUAAAUACGAAUUUGAAUAGUAAUGCUCAAAUAUAUAAUUCAUGAAUAACACUUAAAUACUUAAAUAAAUUUGUGAAUUUGAAUUGAAAUCAUCCAAAAUAUGCAUAUACCUGAGUCGGUAUCUUUCCUAUUUUGAUCACUUCAAUAAAAAAAUCCCAUAUAUAUAUAUUUAGUACUCCUUAUUUGUUUUCAUUAAUUUAUCUAUUUGAUGAAGAUCAAUAUAUAAAUUAGUUAAUUAGACAAAUUUAUUCAUUUAUCAAUAAAAUANNNNNNNNNNNNNNNNNNNNNNNNNNNNNNNNNNNNNNNNNNNNNNNNNNNNNNNNNNNNNNNNNNNNNNNNNNNNNNNNNNNNNNNNNNNNNNNNNNNNAAUAUUAUAAAUUUCAAAUUUUAUACAAAAAAAUAAAUAUUAUAAAGAUAAUAUUGUUUAUUGCUACUUUAUACAAAAAGUUUUUAGUAUUAAUUAUUCUUUAAUCAAUUAUAACUAUUUUAUGAUAUUUAUUAAAGAUUUAGGGAUUAUUUUGGAUGGCCGUGCUAUUUUAAGGAUUAGGGGUACAGAUUUAGGGUUUGGGAUAUAAGAGUUAUCUAGGGGUUUAGGGGUUACAAGUUAUGAUUUAGGGGUUAAAGAUUUAAGGUUUAGGGGUUUAGGGGUCGGAUAAGGAUUUUAGGUUAGUUUAGAUUAAUUUCUUUAAAUAAUUUUUUAAAAAACCAAUCUAAAGUACCAAUUGAUAUAUUUAAAUAUUAUUUUAAAUAGAAUUCAUAAAUAAGUUAAAAAAUAUAUUGAUUUAUAUUAUAUGGAUAUGGUUAUAUAUAUUUAGGUAUAAUUAUUUAUUUUGGAAAUAUAUAUAUAGGACCAAAUACAUAAGAAAUGAAGUAAAAAAAUAAUAAAAAAUUUUAAAACGGCGCCGUUUUCGAAUGAAUAGUUAAACUUUUAGUGGCGUUUUAACUAUUAAACGCCGCAAAUAUGGGAAAGCAGUCGUGGCGUUUGUACAAGAAACGCCGCAAAAGUGUCUUUAAAAUUUGAGUAAACGACACCAUCUGUCUACACGAUUUUUAACUUAUAAAAAGUUUAGAAUUAUUUACUUGAAACGUCACCAUUUGGCUUGUUGUACGUUAAGUAUUAGUGGCGUUUUUACAAAAAGCCACAAAAUGUACAAUUUGAGAACCAAAAAACAGCGCCGUUUCUGCAUACAGGUUUAAAUUUUUAUGGCGUUUUCGCAAAAACGCAGGAAAUUUAGGAAGCAAUAGCGGCGUUUUUCAGUAAACGCCGCAAAAGGGUAUUAAAAUAAUGUCUAAACGGUGCCGUUUCUGUACAUGAUUUGUAACUUAGAAAAAUUUUAGAAUUAUUUAUUCAAAACAUCAAUUAAGUAUUCGUGGCGUUUUUACACAAAACGCAACUAAUAAUACAAUUUGAGACUAGCAAAACGACGCCAUUUCUGUUUAAAACUUGAACUUUUAGUGGCGAUUUUAUAUCAAACGCCGCAAAUGGGUUUUAAAAAAAUGGGUAAACGGCGUCAUUUCUGUACAGUAUAUUUUACUUUGACAAAAUUUAGUGGCAUUUGUGCUUAAAACGCCAGAAAUAAUGCAAUUCCAGACCACGAAAACGGUGUCGUUUCUGUUCACAGCUGUAAUACGUAGUGGCGUUUUUAGGAAAACGCCGGAAAUGUGGAAGAAGUUGCGGCGUUUGUACCUAAAACGCCGCAAAACGAUGUUAAUAUAAUGGCUAAACGACAUCGUUUCCGUAACCGAUUUUUAACUUAUAAAAAUCUUAGAAUAAUAUAUUUAAAACGUCACCAUUUGGCUUAAAAUAGAUUAAGCAUACAGGUUUAAAUUUUUAUGGCAUUUUCGUAAAAACGCAGGAAAUUUAGGAAGCAAUAGCGGCGUUUUUCAAUAAACGCCACAAAAGGGUAUUAAAAUAAUGUCUAAACGGCGCCGUUUCUGUACAUGAUUUGUAACUUAGAAAAAUUUGAGAAUUAUUUAUUCAAAACAUCAAUUAAGUAUUUGUGGCGUUUUUACACAAAACGCAACUAAUAAUACAAUUUGAGACUAGCAAAACGACGCCAUUUCUGUUUAAAACUUGAACUUUUAGUGGCGAUUUUAUAUCAAACGCCGCAAAUGGGUUUUAAAAAAAUGGGUAAACGGCGUCAUUUCUGUACAGUAUAUUUUACUUUGACAAAUUUUAGUGGCAUUUGUGCUUAAAACGCCAGAAAUAAUGCAAUUCCAGACCACGAAAACGGUGUCGUUUCUGUUCACAGCUGUAAUAUGUAGUGGCGUUUUUAGGAAAACGCCGAAAAUGUGGAAGAAGCUGCGGCGUUUGUACCUGAAACGCCACAAAACGGUGUUAAUAUAAUGGCUAAACGACAUCGUUUCCAUAACUGAUUUUUAACUUAUAAAAAUCUUAGAAUAAUAUAUUUAAAACGUCACCGUUUGGCUUAAAAUAGAUUAAGUAUAAGUGGCGGUUUUUAUUAAACGCCACAAAAAAUGCAAUUUCAGAGUAACAGAACGGCGCCGUUUCUGUUAAAAGGUUUAAUUUUUUGUGGCGUUUGGUCUAUAAACGCCAGAAAUUUGGAAUAAGUAGUGGCGUUUUUUCAAGAAACGCCGCAAAUGUGUUUUAAUAUUUUUUUCUCAACGAUGCCGUUUCCGCAGAUGUUCUUUAACUUAGCAUUUACACUCGACAAAGCACAAAAAGCAAAAGCCAAGUGCAGAGGCCAAUUGGGAAGGGGAAAAAACCUAAGAAAAAAAUCUAAGGAAGAAAGUGGAGGAGAAAUCAGAAAUCAUCAAAAAGGAAGCAACGAUUGCGUCAUUCUUGACAGUAGUUGCAGAAUUUCUGGUUAAAAGGUAUGCGUUUAAUCCUUCUGAAGAACAUCGUCUUGAUUUAGGGUAAUUUUGGGUGCAUUGUGUUUUGCAAAUUUGGGGUUUAGGAAAAAAAUUUAGAUUUUAGGGUUUGCGGUUUAGGUUAAAACACCAUUCUUGUUUGGGAAUUUGGGGAACUUGUAAAUUAUUUAUUUAGCAAUUUAAAUAGAAGGGUUUAUUUAGGAAAAAUUUGUGUAUUUAGGGGUUGCCUGAAUACAAAUAUGGGUCCUUAACACAGCCUGUUGUUUCUCCAUUACAGCGAUUUUUGGAGAAGCAUAAAAGGGUAAGGACAGCCCUUCUGGUUGUGGUAGUAUUUGGUGCUUCUAUGGUCAUCUUUAUGGCUGUGGAUUCUAGAGUUUAAUCUCGGUUCCUCUUAAACAUAUGUGGCAACUAGGACAAUAAGCAAAACUAUUAAUCAUGACAGUAUAUAUGAUUAUGGAUGGUGCUAGUGAGCUUGAGAAUACAUUCCCUUUAAUAGCUCUACUAAUAUUUUGCAUAUGGACUAGACAAGAGAUACCAAUAAAUAACUCGUCUGGUCUUACACCUGAAAGACUCAAAUUAACACAGAUUUAAACCCAAGCUAGCUGGUGAAGGUUAAACAAACCAUUUUCCUAAAAUUUUCUUGGCUGAGCCAUUAUUCGGACCAUGCAAUCAUUGUUGCAAUAGUGCAUAAUUAUGUUUGAUUCGUUUAGUGUGCUUAUUUCUCAGCUGGACAUAGUUGAUCUCCCAUGACAGAGUUAUGGAUACUGAUAUCAGAAGUUCUUUAAUGAACAUAGUGGUGUCAUCCUAACUUCCACAUUACUUUGAUAACUUUAAUUGGUUGCAUUAUUCCUCCUAUCUAUAGUAUAUUGUUUGUGGUGGAUGGUUUGACAUGUCUCAGUGCUGAUGUUUCAUUAUUCAAAUAAGAUUUUUAAUUUUGGAUUUUGUUAUAUUUAAGCUUUAUACUAAUUUUUUCCUAGUACUAACUUACUUGUGUUUUCCUUUUUAUUUUUUUUUUGCAGUAGUUUGCUUCGAAGUCCAGGAAAUUGAGGUAUUUAUUCCUAUGUUUCCCACCUUGGUUUUCUUAAAAAAACACCUCCAAAUGUUUAAAUUUUGGAUUUUGUUAUAUUUUAUCUAUGUACUUUAAUUAUUAUUUUUGAGUUUUAAAAGGGAGUUUUAAUUAAGAAUUUUUUUUAAGUUGUGGGUAUCGGUUUUAAUUAUCAUUUUUGAUUUAUAUGUUGCUAGCUCAAUUUGCAUGUUACUUUGCCAAAUUUUUCCAUAACUGCAAGGUAUAAAUUAUGAUUGUAAAUCUUGUACGUAUUUUUUACCCAAGCAAAAACAAUUACGCAAAUUAUUAAAAUUCUUAAAUCACUUUAUAUAUUGGAGUAAGUGAAUAAAUUAUGGGCGAAUAGUGGAUUCGUUUUAAAGUGAACAAAUUAUCGAUUUUCAAUUUUAUGCCAAUUAAUAAAUUAUCGACGUUAGUUCUCAUUUAUGCAAUUGAAUGUUAAUGUUUAAUAAUAUAUGAUUAUUCAAUAAAUUGAUCUAUUAAUUGAUUGAAUGUCAAUGAAUUAUCAAUUUUUGUAAGUUAAUUUGGUUAAAUUUAUUACUUAAAUACAUUACUUACUAAAAUUUGUUUAAAUUUAUUACUUAAAUAUGUUACUUAAAUACAUUACUUACUAAAAUUUAAGUAUAUAUUACAUUACUUACAUAACUUGUUAAAAUAUAUUAUAAUUUUAAAAAUAAUUAUAAUUAAGAUACAUAAAAGUGCAAUACUUACAUCAUACAUUAUUUACACAACCAAAAAUUGAAAUUUACAAGAACUUACAUAACUUGUUAAUAUUUAUAUAAACUUACAUAACUAUCACAUAAACUUACAUAAUAUNNNNNNNNNNNNNNNNNNNNNNNNNNNNNNNNNNNNNNNNNNNNNNNNNNNNNNNNNNNNNNNNNNNNNNNNNNNNNNNNNNNNNNNNNNNNNNNNNNNNNNNNNNNNNNNNNNNNNNNNNNNNNNNNNNNNNNNNNNNNNNNNNNNNNNNNNNNNNNNNNNNNNNNNNNNNNNNNNNNNNNNNNNNNNNNNNNNNNNNNNNNNNNNNNNNNNNNNNNNNAUACAUUAUUUACAUAUUAACUUACAUAAGUUAUCUACAAGCUUGUGGUUAAACUUGCAUAACUUACAUAAUAACAUAACAACUUACAUAAUACAUAGCAUACAUAACUUACAUAACUUACAUAAUACAAAACUUACAUAACUUAAAUAUCUUACACAACUUACAUAACGUACAUAAUACAUAACUUACAUAAUACAUAAUAACUUACAACUUACAUAACAUACAUGACUUUGAUAACUUACAUAACUUACAUAAUACACAACUUGUUAAGCUUACUUAAUACAUAACUUACAUAACUUAUACACGUACAUAACUUACAUAAUUUACUUAAUACAUAAAUAUAUAUCAUAUGAUAUACUUACAUAACUCAUUUAUACUUACCACUCAACAACUUACCCUUGUAAUUUCUGGUGAAAAUCAGACGUCAAGAAAUAAGAAAUGGACCGGUCUUGGAUGAAUUUAUCAAGGGUAAGUGACGGUUAUCGAAAUGGAGUACAGACUUUUCUAAAUUUUGCAUUUCAAUAUGCAAGCCAGGAGAACAUGAUUCUUUGCCCGUGUAAGAAGUGUGUCAACAUAAACUCGCAUUAUCGUGAAGUGUGUCAAUAUGAAAACGAUGGGUUUGUUCGGGGUUAUAAACAAUGGUUUUUUCAUGGAGAAUGCCCGCCUAGUACUUCCUCAUCAAGGAUGGAUGUAUCUUAUGACAGUACUACUUACCAUCAGUCUGUUAGAGGGGAUGGCAUGGAAGGGAUGUUGCGGGAAGCAUUUAAUAUUCACAACCAUGGUUUACAGUCGUUCCCAGCCGACUUUGUGGCACCUGAUGAUUGUAAUAUCGGUGGAAAUGCUUUUACCGAACCUGAAAGAAGUGUACAUCAUGAAGAGCCGAAUGGAGAAGUGGCAAAGUUCUACGUGCUACUUAAUGACAUGAAUGAAGAACUGUUUGAGGGAUCAAAAUUCUCGAAAUUAUCUUUCUGUAUUCGUCUUUUCCAGUUAAAGUGUUUGGGAGGGUGGACCGGGAACUCUUUAACAAUGCUGUUAGAGUUUCUGAGAGAGAUGUUUCCGUUUGCAAAAAUCCCUCAAUCAUGCAAAGAUAUAAAGAAAAUGAUAAAAGAUUUAGGUCUUGGGUACACCAAAAUCCAUAGUUGCCCGAAUGACUGCAUGUUGUAUUGGGGCGAUCGAAGAAACCAGCAAUGCUGUCACAUAUGCGGCCAAUCACGUUGGAUAAAUAGAAACACAGAAGAUGGGAACGACGAUGAAAAUGAUACACUGGCAAGAAAGAAGCCGGUCAAGAUUUUGUGGUAUUUUCCGCUCAUACCAAUGCUUCAAAGGCUUUUCAUGUCGUCGAAGACAGCGGAGUCUAUGACGUGGCACCAUGAUGGACGAACCGAUGAUGGGAAGAUGAGGCAUUCAGCAGAUUCUUUAGCUUGGAAAUCAUUUAACAAUAAAUUUCCAAGCUUUGCAAGCGAUCCUAGGAGUGUAAGGCUUGGCUUAGCAUCUGAUGGAUUUAAUCCGUACAAGAUCAUGAGUACUGCGUACAGUACUUGGCCAGUAGUGCUUGUUGCUUACAAUCUGCCUCCGUGGAUUUGCAUGAAGCAAUCUUCCUUUAUCUUAUCUAUGAUUAUCCCUGGAGAGAAAGGGCCCGGGAAUGAUAUCGACAUUUAUUUACAGCCACUUAUUGAAGAGUUAAAACAAUUGUGGGCUGGUGUCGAGACAUACGAUCUGCUGAGAAAGGAGAACUUUAAUCUACGUGCAGCUUUGAUGUGGAUCAUUAAUGACUUUCCCGCUUAUGCCAAUUUAUCCAGUUGGAGUACAAAGGGUCGUUAUGCGUGUCCUUGUUGUGCUGCACAAACAUGUUCGCAAUGGUUGUACAAUGGGAAGAAGUUCUCUUACAUGGGGCAUCGUCGGUGGUUACCGGAAAAUCAUAGAUUUAGAUUUCAAAGUUCUGUAUUUGACGGUACUGAAGAGUUCAGAGAAGCUCCUUCGUAGACCAGUGGCUCUGAAAUCUUGUUCAUGUUGGAAGAUAUGAAUUUCAUUUAUGGGAAGAUGAACCAACCGCCAAACACGCAAAGAAGUAGAAGAUCAAACGAUGAAGCUGAUGAUGACUCUGAUGAAGAGGACGAUCCUAAUGAGGCGGACUUGUGGAAAAAAAGAAGUAUUUUUUUUGAGUUGCCUUAUUGGGAGCAUCACCUUUUACGACAUAAUCUUGAUGUUAUGCACAUUAAGAAAAAUGUCUGCGAGAACAUUGUGGGUACAAUUUUGAAUGUCGACGGAAAAUCAAAAGACAAUCUUCAAAGUCGACUUGAUUUAGUACAAAUGGGAAUCCGACCUGAUCGUCAUCCCAAUCCACUUUCGAAUGGGAAAUAUCGGUUGCCGCCAUCUAUUUUUUCAAUGUCGAAGACGGAAAAAGAAGUGUUCUGCACGGUGUUGAAGGAUAUAAAGGUUCCAGAUGCGUAUGCAUCAAAUAUAUCUCGAUGUGUUAGUGUUAAAGAUCGAAGAUUAUAUUCGCUAAAAUCACAUGACUAUCACAUCUUGAUGCAAGAUUUACUGCCAGUGGCUCUACGAUGUUGUAUGUCCAAGAAGGUGACGUCUUGUAUAAUUGAACUAUCCAACAUAAUGAAAGCCAUUUGUGGCAAAGUUUUGGAUGUUCAAGAACUUCGGAAGGUACAAGAUCGAGCCGCUUUGACUUUAUGCAACAUGGAGAAAAUCUUUCCACCUUUCUUCUUCACCAUUAUGGUUCACUUGAUAAUCCAUCUCCCACACGAAGCAAUUCUUGGCGGACCCGUUUUCUAUUGAUGGAUGUAUCCCAUAGAAAGGUGUUAAUUAAAAUUUUUAAAAUUUUCCUUCAUUCACCUCUAUCCUUUAGUUUCAAUAAUUAAGAAAUGUUAUAUAUUGUGUUUAGGUUUCUAUCCAAAUUAAAGUCUUACUGCCGCAACAAGCGAUAUCCAGAAGGAUCAAUUGCAGAAGGCUACUUGGCAGAAGAAUGUAUGACCUUCUGCUCAAGAUAUUUGGAAGAUGUUGAAACAAGGUUAAACAGACCAAAUAGGAAUGCUGGACUCACGGACCAUAACUUAGCCGAUACUUAUUUGUUCCAAAGUUUUGGAGAACCAAUCGACAAAGUUGAAAUUGCAGAAUUAGAUCAUUUAUCGUGGGUACAAGCACAUCGAUAUGUUCUGUUUCACCACGAAUCAUUGGAACCUUUACGGAAGUAAGUUCUACAAAUUUGAUAAAUAUUUAUCAAACUAAUAAUUGUUUAUCUUCUAACAAAGUGAACAUUUUUUUAACAUAGUGAGUACAAACAAAUAUUGAGAUCUCGUUCGCGCUCCCGAAGAAUACAACAUCGAGAUAUCAAUAAGUUGUUUACAAAAUCUUUUUAUGAAUGGUUAAGCCAAACGGUAUGCAGUUCGAGCUUCCGCUUACAAAUAAUAAAAUCUGUUUUCUCAUAACAUUUUUAAUUACUCAGUUUACUUUCCAUUCAAUAGGUUUGGAGUGGGAAGAACGUAAACGACGAAGUUAAAUGGCUCUCCCAAGGUCCAAAUCGAGUGGUUAAAAGAUAUAGUUCGUUCCUCAUCAACGGAUUCAGAUUUCAUACAAAAUAUCGCGAGAGGUUGAGGAGAAUGCAAAAUUGUAGAAUAGUUGUCAAUUCUACAAUUACAAGUUAUGCUAGUGCAAGGGACAAUAAUCCUGUCGAGGGAAAUAUGGAAUAUUUCGGACAUCUUACUGACAUAAUUGAGUUGGAUUACUACGGCAAAUGGAAAGUUGUCUUAUUUCGUAGUGAUUGGGCCGAUGUUAAUACAACUCAUGGAAUUAAGCAAGAUCAAUUUGGUUUUACAAUGGUGAACUUUGACCGAUUGAUUCACACAGGACAACAACUGAUAGAUGAGCCGUAUGUAUUCUCAUCUCAAGUCAAACAAGUUUUUUACUCAAAAGAUCCAACUGAUGAGGGUUGGUACGUUGUACUCCGUAACAUCCCUAGAGACUUGUUUGACAUGGGCAGUGGAAGUAGAGAUAACAUCGACGACAGAUCAGAAACUUUGCCCUUUCCAGAACAAAACUUAAACGAUAAUAUCCCUAGUACUAGUGCACAAUUUCAAUGUGUUCGUCAGGAUACCGAUGAAGAUAUUUACGAAUAAUGAUGUAGUAAGAUUUUACGAUUGUUUAAUUAUAAGUAUUUUGUCAUAAUUUAAAUAUUGGUCUUAUUAUAUAUUUCAACUGUUUUAUAUGUGCUGUUAUUGUUGUAAUUAGUUAUUAAGUUGUCAACUAUUUUAUGUGUAUUGCAGAUAAAAUGCCUAGAAGAAAAAUUCUAAGGGGAAGCAUUGUUCAAAAUGAUCCAAACACGACAGAAACAAAUAGUACUGAACAACAGACAGCAAUUGGAUCUUCGAAUGUUCCGAUUACAGCUGAUGAUCCUACAGAAGUUCAAAGUAAUUUUACAUUUAAUUUACAUGUGUGUUGACUUAUAGUUGAUUUUUUUUUCAAAUUCUUAUAUUAUAAUAUACCAUUUGUAGCUGAAAAUGGUGGGAUGCGCAGAGGUCGAGGACGUACGCUACUUAGAGAGUUAUACGAGUUAGAUCCAGUCGAGCGUGUCAAAGUUGGACGAAACAGUUUUGGUCAGCCUGUUGGAUCAGAACCUCGACUUUUAGCAGGAUACAUGGGCAUUUUAGCACGAAAUCCGAAUAUGUUGCCUAUCAACUACGACUCAUGGCAUCAAAUGCCCGAUAGCAACAAAAACCAAGCCGUCGAUAAUAUUAAGGUAACAAAAUGUUAAUGUCAUCUGUAAUGCUUGGGAAAUAGUUUCAUUUAUAUUUACUUUAUUAACUUGUUUUUUUUAUUUUUUGUAGACGAGGUUUGCUUUAGAGGUCUCGGAUGCUUAUGUAAAGAAGGCAUUGGGAAAAAGAUGGAGAGACAAUAAAAGUACUUUGAAGAGAAAUUAUUAUAAGACAAAAACAACCCUUGAUGAGAAAUUACAAAAUGUCCCGCCGGGUAUGUUGAGGUACCAAUGGGAAGAUGCGGUUAGAUUUUAGCAUUCGAAGAAAGGCGAGGUAUGACGUACUUCCAAACUAUUGUAAUUAUUUUGGUAAAUAGUAUUUUCUAUUUACAUACUAAAAAUUUCAUAACGUAGGAUCGUGAACNNNNNNNNNNNNNNNNNNNNNNNNNNNNNNNNNNNNNNNNNNNNNNNNNNNNNNNNNNNNNNNNNNNNNNNNNNNNNNNNNNNNNNNNNNNNNNNNNNNNUGUAGCUGAGGCGGAGGUAUUUUUAAUUUUUUAAUAUUGUCGAAUAUGUAUAACUUUCUAUUAAAUAAUAUUUUUACUACUAUAUUGUAGGAACUGUCGUCCGGUCAAAAAGUUGGACGCCUUCAACUUUUUGAAAUUACACAUAGGAAGAAAGAUGGAUCUCCCAUGACUCCUGAAGCUGGUGAAAUAAUGGUACGUUUACUUAAUACGAUUUGACUUGUUUUAGUUAUUUAUAGUGUUUAUUUUCUAAUGGUUUAAUUCAUUGCUUGUAAUGCGACUAUUGUUAUGUUGCAUAUGUUUUUUAAUAUAUAAUAUUGCGUUCCUAACUAUGUGAUUUAUUUAUUAGGAAAAACUAAAGGAUAAAAAGGUGGAGUACGAAGCGAUUGCUUCUAGUGAUAGUUCUGUUCAUCUUGAAGACAUUGAUAAUCGGAUUAUUACUGAAGUUUUGGGUCCUGAAAGGUAUGGUCGGGUUCGAUUUCAAGGAUCUUUUGUUAGCCCAACCCAAUAUUUUGGAUCCAGCUCCCACCAAUACAUGGCUUCGGGGAGUCAGGCUCAAGCUGAAGUUCGGAGGUUAAAAGACCAGAUGGCUCAGAUGCAAGCGACCACAGUUGAGGUUCAAAGGAAAUAUGAAGAACUCCAGCUACAACUUAAAGCAGAGGCGGCAGCGAGGGAAGCAGCGGCUGCAGCGAGAGAAGCAGAGCAGACCAAAAAGUACAACGAACUCCAGCAGCAGCUUCAGAUUAUGAUGAAGAUGUUUCAGUCGCAACUUCCGCCUUCAUAGUGUAUGGCAUAAAUAUUUUUAUCAUUUUAUCAUUUAACAUUUUUGCAAAAUAAUAUGAAUUCACUUUUAUUUAUUGAUAUUAAUAUUAUUUUAUUCGUUUAAUUUGAAAUAUUAUAUAAAUUUAUUGCUUUUGGCUAUUUUAGAUCUGGUUGCUUUUGAUUUGUUGUUACAGGAGGGCUGAAAAAAUGAAAAAUUUAAUAAAAAAAUCCCAAAAAUAGUGGCGUUUUUGUAUAAAAACGCCGCUAAAGACCGUGUUCUUUAGCGGCGCUUAGAAAAAAACGCCGCUAAAGAACAUGGUCUUUAGCGGCGUUUUUUUUUUGUAAACGCUGCAAAUGUUUGUGACGUUUUCCUUAGCGGCAUUUAGUGGCGUUAAAAAGCGCUGCUAAAGGCUUAAAAAAACGCCGCUAAAGACCUGUUUUGGUGUAGUGGUGUUAAAACGCAUUAUCCUCUUAUUUAUGAAUUAGGAAGUAGUUAUUGGUAGUUCUAGACAUUGCGUAGAAAAUAAUAGAUAUGAUGAGAAUCUAUAUUGAAACUUUUCGAAAAAAUAUAUUUAUUACACAUGAACUAAAAGAAAUUUCUUUAUGGGUAGUUCAAGAAUAUUGUUGAAGCUAUAAAAUAAAAAUUCAAUUGGAAAAUAGAAAUCUCUUUUGUUUAACAAAAUAUUAAUCAUUGAUUGAGUUAAUAUUAUGAGUCAAUCGGACACCAAUUUAAUUAAGAAAUUACAAAAAUAUCAUUCCAUAAUUAAAAUAAAUUAUAUUAUUUGAGGAUAUUUUAAUAUUUUUAUGUCAAAAAAAUCAAUAAAAAUAUAUAUUUAUUUUUCACAAAUAUAUUAUUCUAUCAAUUUUCAUCAACCAAAAAAAAAGUAAUUAAAGUAAAAUUUACCUUUGAUAUACCAGAUGAUUUCAAAGAGAAUGAUUAUAUCAAUGAGUUUAACAAUUAAAAAAUAUAUUUUUUUCAAAGAUUUUAUAAUAUCAAAAAUUUUAAAAAUUUUAUAUAAAAAUUAAAUAAAUAUUUUAAAUGAUAUUUGGACCAAUUUUAAUAAUUAGUUUAUAAUUUAGAGUUGUAUAUAAUAUGGCUGAUAUAUAUAAUGUCUUGGUCAAGUCAUGGUUUUAUAUAUGUUUAUUUGUGAGCCCUACACUCACAUCAAAUUUAGAUAUCACAAACAUGAUUUAAAAUAUUAUUAACUGUGAGCAAUUUAAAGAAAUUUAAUUUCUUUUUUACAAUUUUAAGUUAAUCAAUUAUUUGAUUUUUUUUAGGGGCGAAUUCAGAAAAGUUUUUUAGGGGCCGAAAUGAAUUUUUAAUUUUUAUUAGUCUAUAUAUUUAUAUUUUUAAAGGAUUAAAUUAAAAUUUUUAUAAUUUUAGGGGGGCCAAAAUGUAAUUUUAUCUCUACUAAUUUAAAACUUUAAAAUUUUUUAAAGGACCUAAAUAAUAAUUUUUCAUUUUAAGGGGGCCGGGGCCCCUACCAACCCUUUAGAUUUGCCUCUGAUAUAUAUAUUAUUUAUGUUUUGCAACUCAAAAUUUAGUCAUAUUAUCAAUAAUAUUUUAAUAUGAAAAAUUUACUUUUUAAAAAAUUUAUGUUGAACAAACUUAUUUAGCUUGUCUCAAUUAAAUUAAAAAAAUUAAAAUCAAAUUAGAAUAAUAAAAUAAUACCCAUUUACGCGAUUGAAUCUAAUACUCACCUCUCAAUAUUACACCUUUUGAAUCUUCCUAGAUCAUAAAAGGGGAAGUUAUCCUUGGCGUGUGUGUUUUAGUGCUCCUUAUUUCCUUUAAAAACAGAGUUUAUUUUUUCCUUUUUUAUAGAAAUGAAUUGAUAUUUAAACUGCAAAAGAAGAACCACUAUUUGAACAUGUAUAAAUUAAUAUUGUACGCAAAUAUAAACUUUAAUACCAAUUAGAGAAGUAAAAUAAGAUAUUGGUGAAUCAAAUUUAUUAAAUAAUUUAUAUACAGAAUGGAUGAUAUAAUAUUUCUGAAGUCUUCCCUUGGUUGACCAUAAAAGGAGAAGUCAUUGUUUUGUUUUUUGGUAUUUAUUUGUGACCCCUACACACACAUCAAAAUCACAUAUCAUAAACAUUGAUUUAGAAUUAAACUAUAUAAUAUUAGACCUUUUGUAAUCUUCCUAUUGUUGACCAUAAAAGGAGAAGUCAUCCUCUUCUGUCUUUUGUCCCCUUCAACUCUGUGGCUAAUUAUGUCAAAACAAGGUUUUUUUUUCCCUUCUUUGGUAGGAAUUAAAUUAAUAAAGAUUAUUGUAAUUUAAAAUCCAAUUAAAGUUACUAUUUGAACUGGUAUGAAUUAAUAUUGUUAUGUCUAACAUUUAUAUCCAAUAAUUUUUACUAUAGAGAAAAGAAGUAAGAAAAUAAUAUAUGAUGUAAAAUUGUUAAUUUGAGUCUUAACACAGUCGGUAUUUGUAUGUUGUUUAUGUAAUUUUUCUUUCUAGUUAAAGGUUGGAGAGGAGUUAGGGUGAAGCUAGAAAUUUCUUUUUUUGGGAGACGAAAUUAAGUUGUAUAUUUUUACAAGGGUUAAAAUAUAAUUUCACCAUUUCAAUAGCUUAUAUCUUUACAAUUUUUAAUGGACUAAAUCAAUAUUUUAUCAUUUUUAGGGCUAAAGUACAAUUUUACUAUUUAUUAACUUAAAAUUUUAUAAACUUAAUUUAAAGGGUUAAAUUUUAAAUUUCACAUUUUAAGGGGAGGGAUAGAACCCUGCUAGGCUCCCCUCUUGCCGCCCCUGAGAGGAUAUAAAGUAAAGCCAUAAGGGUCUAAAAUAUAUGAAUUAUGAGUACUUAUUACACUUGACCAAUUGCUUUUCUUCAAACAAAACAAAAACUAAUGCACAUGAAAAUGCAAAUUCACAUGCAACCUAGAUAUGCAUUCUAUAUACAAUGCAAUGCAAUAAAUAAAUAAACAAAUAUUAUUUAACGAUGGAGUUGCCUCUCCGUAAGCACCUUUGUUUAACAUUUUCUACUAGAUGUUUUUAAAUGUUAUUUCACCAUAGAAUGAUUCGGAUAACAUCUUGACUUAGUAAAAUUGAACAUUAGGAACAACUUAAAAGUCGAGGGAACUUGAGAGUUUUGAUCCCCUUUUGGUUCUUUAACCAACCAUUCUCACCCCUAAUUAUAAUUCCAAUACAGUAAAAGUACGUGAUUGAGUUGAAUGGAUGGUGGUUGUUUGACAUAAUAUGUAGAAAGUGAAAAAAUAGUUGAAAAUAAAUCAAGUAUUAAAACUAAAAGUUUAUGAAAGAAAUUCUAGUAUUAUCAAUUUUUCGUGAGGCUCAAAGCUAUUUGGAACAAAAAUAAAAUCAAUGUGUAUAGGCUUAACAAAAUAGCUAUUAUCUUGCAUUGUUAUUUCAUCCUAACCUCUUCCCUCAUAACUUCAUCUUCUAUUUUCUGUUCGACUUUAUCAAAAGUCUCAAGAAUUUCCUCCUCGUCCUUUUUAACUUCAACGAAACUUUCUAGGGAAGGAAGCUCUAUCGUGAAUGACUUCGGUUCUAGUCAAAGUAAAACAUAGUUUUUUUAGGUUUUUCGACUAUUUAUGCAUCAAACUUUUAGGCCAUUUUGGACAUCUUCCUAAUGUUUUUAGGCUUUAAUCUGUGAAAUAAAUUUAGAUAAAUCUUUCAAGUCACAUCAACAUUUUAUUAAUGAUUUAAUAAAUUAUUAAUAAAAAGAUUUAAGGUUAAUGUACAAAUUUGUCACUAUACUUCAAUUUGAUUGAUAUUUGAUAUUGAAUUUUAUUGCUUUACUUUAAUUUAAUUGAAUUUUGCCACUAAAGUAAGAUUUUUUUAUUGAAUUUUCUAUUCAAUUUAAUUUUAAAAUAACUUGAAGGCUAAAUUGAAUAAAAAUAGUUUUAUAUUUCGCUUUUAUAUUUAAUAAUUAUCCUCUCAUCCAUGGCAAGGUGCGGAAAUUUGCAGAAUAUAGAAAUGGAGUGAAGAAAAACCGCUUUAGCAGACGAUAUGAUUAUGUUAAGGAUAUACUGAAGUGUUUGAUUAUUUUUUCCAGAUGGAGUGUUUGACAUUUUAUAUCACUUAAUUAUUUUGGAUUUAUAUGUGAUGUCAGCGUCUACACGUAUACAUGUGAAUGUCACCUAUUCGAAAUUAAGAAAUAGUAAUUAUAUUUAAUAAUUAAAUUCAUAUUUAAUAUAUAUUUUUGAUCUAAUUUUUUAAUUCAAUUUAAUUUUAGUUAAAACGUUUAAAACAUUUAUUUAAUCUAAUUUCUUUAAUAUAUUAAAUAAAUUGGAUUAGAAAAUAUAUUAAAUAUGGAUGAAUACUAUAUCUCUAAAAAUUAAUAUAUUAUUAUUUUAUUGGUGCUUAAAAAAAUUAAAAUAUUAAGAAUCAUUUUAAUAUAAGUUAUUCCCUUGAUAAUAAUAUUUGGUAUUUCCACGAGUAAGUUCAAUAGUUGACAAAUAUUUUAUAUAAGUACAAUAAAAUAUUUAAAAAAGUUAUUUAGUGACUUAAUUUUUUAAGAAUAUUUGAUAAUUCAUAAAGAAAAUAAAUAAUAUUUUAAAAAAAAAGAGUGAAAAAUGAUAAGUAGAUAAUAGCUAUUAUCACUUACAACAUGUUUGGAUUAAAAAGAAGAAAAAAGGAGGGAAAAUUAAGUAAAUUGAGGGAAAGAAAAUUCGGUUUCUUUGUUUAAGUUAAGUAAAGUUGUUAAUUUUUUAUUAGAUUUUAUAUUUUAGAUUAUUAUCUCUUCUUCUUCUUUUUUUAGCUUGUAACAACCUUAUUUUUAUUUUCUAUUUGUUUAGGUUACUAGAAAUAUUUAAUUUUAAAUUUGUUUGAUAUAUAUUUUUAAAAAUUUUAACAAUAUUUUUUUAUUAACUAUUUUGUUAAAUUAUUAGGAAUCCUUCAUUUAUAAUUUGGUUAAGAUAUUUUUUUAGUUUGAUAAAAUAAGCUUAUUAAAAAAAAGAGAAUAUACCAAUAUAUUAUUGGUUAACAUUUUAAUUAUUAUUUUAUAUAGAAUAUUGAUAUUUUUCUAUAAUUUUAAUUUGCUGUGAUUUAAUUUUGUUAUUAUAUAUUAUUUAUGAACUGUUAAAAUUAAAAAAAAAUAAAAGUAAAAUAAUUCAUUUUCUUUCCUUUUCAUAGUUUAGUAAAACAAGUCCACAAGCUCGCCUCAUUUGAAAAAAAUUAAAUUGUUUAAAUAUAUUUAUCUAUAUAUAUAUAGGGACUAAUUUUAACAAAUGAAAAACAUAGAAAAACUACAUUAAAAGAAAUGGAAAAGGGAAGAAAACAAAAGGAGAAGCAGAAGAGAAUGAAAUAUAAAGGAAAGUUAAAAGAACAUAAAAAAAUUAAAUUAAAUUGCUCAAAACGAAAAAAAUAUGGGGAUUAGUUGCAUAAAUCAUCCUAAAAUUUUUGUUUGAAAGAUGAUUUAACAUGUCACAUCAGCUUAUUGUUACACGGUUAACAAAAAUUAAUAGCUCAGUGACUAAAAUGUUAUAACGUGAUAACGUAAGUGACUAAAAUGUAACAUUUCAAACAUAAAUAACUAAAAUGUAAGCAAAAGUGGCUAUUUUAAUAGUUUACCCUAACAUUUAUCCAAACAUAAGCUUAAUGUAAACAUUUUUUCAAUUAUUUUUAUUUUAUUUUAUUUUUUACCAUUAUCCUUUAUCCUUAUUUUAAAAAAAAGUAUAAUUAUUUUUCAAAAUUAAUUUUAAGCAAUACAUCAAAUAGAUUUUAUAACUUAAAUGUAAUAUUUAAUUUUAUAAUAUUUUUUUAUCAAACAACGUUUACUCCUAAGUAAAUAAAUAAAUAAAGGCCUUGUGUAAUUAAGAAAGUUGAGAAAUGGCUAAUCCUCACAUGGCAAAAAUUGGCUACAAUAAUGAAGGAAAGAGAAAAACACUUAGGAAUGUCAAUGAGCAUACCCCACACACAUACUAUUUACUGUCAACGGUGAUGGAUGAAUUGUCUACUAUACAUGGAUUUUUUUUUUUUUUUGGUUCUUGUCCUGUAUUAUUUGGAUUUGUGAUCCCAUGUAAAAUUCCAGUCACUAUUUCAUCGCAUUUAAAAAAAAUUAUUUAUUAUCAAUUGAGUAUUAACUUGAUUGGUAUAAGUAUUAUUGUCAAUGUAUGAGAACAUAGGUUCGAGUGUAUUAAAGCUCAUUAUCUUUUUAUUUAUGGAUUAGAAAGUGAUUAUUGGUAGUUCUAAACAUUGUGUUGAAAAGAAUAGACAUAAUCAGAAUCUAUGUUGAAAUUUUUCAAAAACAAUUAUUUAUUACACAUUAAUUAAAAGAAAUCUCUUUAUGGGCAGUUCAAGAUUGUGAAGUUAUAAAAUAAAAAAUUCGAUACGAAAACAAAAAUCUCUUUUGUUUAACAAAAUAUUAAUCAUUGAUUGAGUUAAUAUUAUGAGUCAAUCAAACAUCAAUUUAAUCAAGAAAUUACGAAAAUAUUAUUUUAUAAUUAAAAUAAAUUAUAUUAUUUGAGGAUAUUUUAAUAUUUUAUGUCAAAAAAAUCAAUAAAAAUAUGAAUAUGAUGGGAUUUGAAAUAAAAUCUUGAAUUUACCACUCAACCAAAACUUUAUUUUAUCAUAUUUUAUACAUUUUUAUUUUAAUACGCACAAUUUAUUAUCUUCAUCAGUUGUAUAUAUAUUAAUAAAUUUAUUGAUUGAGUUGAUAUCACAAGUCAACUCGACACUAACUGACAAUUGACGACAACACUUUGAUAGACAGUUGUAUUGCGUUUAAUUAGUAUUUUUAAUUUGAUGUAUUUAUAUGUUUAAAUUUUAUUUUUGCUCCCAAAUUAAUUUAAUUUUUUAUUUUAAUGCCAUACAUAUUUUAUAUAUUCUUAUAAUUAAUUAUCUUGAAACCAUAUGUUUCAUUAUUUACUUCUUUCUUUUAAGCAUGCAUCUGUGUUUCAAAUCUAAACAUGGUUGAUUAUGUUAAUUAAUGUUACAAAUUGAGAAAUUUAUUAAAAGUAUUGAAAGAUGUUGGAAGAUGCUAUUGAUCUUCUUCAAGUGGUUUUUCACAAAUAUAUUAUUCUAUCAAUUUUCAUCAACCAAAAAAAAAAGUAAUUGAAGUAAAAUUUACCUUUGAUAUACCAGAUGAUUUCAAAGAGAAUGAUUAUAUCAAUGAGUUUAACAAUUAAAAAAUAUAUUUUUUCAAAGAUUUUAUAAUAUCAAAUAUUUUAAAAAUUUUAUAUAAACUUAAAUAAAUAUUUUAAAUGAUACAAUUCGACCAAUUUUAGUAAUUAGUUUAUAAUUUAGAGUUGUAGAUAAUAUGGCUGAUAUAUAUAAUGUCUUGGUCAAGUCAUGGUUUUAUAUAUGUUUAUUUGUGAGCCCUACACUCACAUCAAAUUUAGAUAUCACAAACAUGAUUUAAAACAUUACUAGCUGUGAGCAAUUUAAAGAAAUUUAAUUUCUUUUUUACAAUUUUAAGUUAAUCAAUUAUUUGAUUUUUUUUAGGGGGCCGAAAUGAAUUUUUAAUUUUUAAUGGUCUAUAUCUUUAUAUUUUUUAAAGGAUUAAAUUAAAAUUUUUAUAAUUUUUGGGGGGUCAAAGUGUAAUUUUACCUCUACUAAUUUAAAACUUUAAAAUUUUUUAAAAGACCUAAAUAGUAAUUUUUCAUUUUAAGGGGGCCGGAGCCUUACCAACCCUUUAGAUUUGCCUCUGAUAUAUAUAUUAUGUAUGUUCUUUAAAUCAAAAUUUAGUCAUAUUAUCAAUAAUAUUUUAAUAUGGAAAAUUUACUUUUUAAAAAAUUUAUCUUGAACAAACUUGUUUAGCUUAACUCAAUUAAAUUAAAAAAAUUUAAAUCAAAUUAAAAUGAUAAAAUAAUACUCAUUUACUCGAUUCGAUCUAGUACUCACCCCUCAAUAUGACACCUUUUGAAUCUUCCAUGACAGAAGUUAUCCUUAGUGCUCCUUAUUUCCUUUAAAAACAAGGUUUAUUUUUUCCUUUUUUAUAGAAAUGAAUUGAUAUUUAAACUGCAAAAGAAAAACCACUAUUUGAACAUGUAUAAAUAACUUGUAGUUGAUAGUUAUAUACAGAAUGGAUGAUAUAAUAUUUCUGAAGUCUUUUGGUAUUUAUUUGUGACUCCUACAAAUUAUAUAUAAGAAAUUCUAGUGUUAUCAAUUUUUUGGAGGCUCAAAGCUAUUUGGCAUUGUUAUUUCAUCCUAACCUCUUCCCUCGUAACUCCAUCUUCUAUUUUCUGUUAGACUUUGAGAGUUCAAUUACGAAAAGGGAAGUGUUUUUUUCGGCUCUUAAUGUAAUUGAUAGUAGGCUAGGAAAUAAAGAUUAUUCGUUUGUUUGUUUAAGCCUGAUUUUGACUUGUGUACUAUAAUUAAAUUAUCACACUAAUAUAUUUUUAUCAGUUUGAUUUAUGUACUUUCAUUCUAUAUACUUCGUUAUCUUAUUUAUAUUUUUUAGAAAAAAAAUUUUCUAUCUAAUUAAAUGCUGUCACCUAUGAAAAAAUUUAAAAUUCCACUAAAGUAUAUAAAAAUUCAUAAAAAUCGUAAAAAAAAUAAAAAAAAAAGCAUAAAACUCUAAAGAAAUUAAUAAAAUUUUAUAAGCACAAAUUUCCAAAAAUAAAAUUAAAAUAUUUUAUUAAAAUUUUUAAAUUUUUUAAAGUUUCAUAUAUUUAUUGUUUAAAAAUUAUAUCAUUUUCAAAAAAAGAUUAUGAAUUUUUUUAGGUAUUUUAAAAAUAUUUUUCUAAGUCUUAAGAUUUUAUUUUUUGCAUUUUAUGAUUUCUUUUUUGGAUUUUUAAUGGUUUUUAAAAUUUUAUAAUAUUUUCUAAAAUGUUUUAACUAUUUUGGUCGUCCAGGUUUUGUGAAUGAAGCGAAGGGUAUCUUUAUUGUGGUGAACUUUUAAUUUACUCAAAACGAAGUGAUUUAUUACGUUGUGUGAUUUGCAGAUAAGUGUUAAAUAUGAAAUGUGUAAGGCCCAAUAUUUGCCCGGCCCGUAAUAAACAAACCAAAUCAAAAUUUAAAAAGUCCAAAGUCCAAAAUUACAAAAAUCUAUCAGACCCAAAAUAUAAAUCGAGCCCAUUUAUAAAUGGCCCAGUACAAACCCAAAUUACAGCUAGCCCAAUAGCCAAAACCAGCCCAGAUUUUUUCAUUUUGCAGAAACCCUAAACAGUUUCAGAGGUACCAGGCGCCGCAGCCAAGCCCUCGCACAUGCCCCACGAACCACGCUUCCAACGCCUCUCCCCACAUACACCUAGCCACGUCCCUGACACCGUACGGCCGUACCUGCAGCAAACGCAAACGAAAAACGCAGCAGAGAAAGAAACUGUAUUUUUCAUUUUUAUUAUUUUAAAACGAAGGGAUAUAAAACAGGAGAAACCUUUUGUAUUUGAGGGGGGAUUGAUACGCAAUAUCAACACACGCAUAUUGUAUCAGAAAAACGAAAUCAAUACAGAAGAAAGGUUUUCUUUUUCUCUUUUCUCGAUUGGGUUCCUUUUUCUUUGGCUUUUCAUUUUUCUGUUUUGCUGUUAGCCCUAUACAUAAGCAUAUGCAUAUAAUAAAAGGGAAAGGAAGUACUUACCUCGGUGACCCUGUCGUCGUUCUCAUCGGUUUCGUGGAUACCAGAGAGGCUAGGUAUGGUUUUAGCCUGAGAACGGCGCGAGGGGAGAGGGGAAAGGCAAAGUUUUUUUUCUGCUGUUUUUUUAGUGGCCGAAUAACCUUGUUUAGGGUUUUAAAAUUGGUUUUUUUGGGGUGUUGAAACGGCGUCGUUUGGGGCCUGAAUCAGUGGCCACCAAAACGGCGUCGUUUCGCGCUUAGUCCCUUGCCUUUAAAGCGCAUCCAAAUCAAUCUUUUUAUUUUUUUAGAUUUUGCCUGAUAUGUCACUGUUGUUUCAUUUUGGUCCCUUCUGCCAAUAUGCGUUUUGAAGGGCGGGGAAUAUUUCCCAUUUAAUCCCUCAUGUAAUGCGCAGGCUUCAUUUUGCCUUUUAAUUUCCUUUUAAUUUAUUUUCUUUUUUCGAUUAAGCAUUAAAUCCCUUUUAAUCUCUAUUUUAGUUUGUUCAUAUUAAUUAAUUUAAAUAUUUUGGUUCUGUUUUCUUUAAUAUAUUUCAGUUUAAUCUAAUGUUAUUUUAAUAAUUCAACUUAUUAGUAUAAAUUCAUUAUUGGUAUUAUUUAAAUCUAUUGAACCAUUAUUCUAAAAGUUCUCUUUCGUGUGUUAUUUUAAGUUUUCAUAUAUUAUUAUUAAAAUUUAAUACUUAUUAUUUUUAUGAUAACUAAAUAUAAUUUGUACAAUUCUAUAGUUUUAUAAUAUUUAUUUUUAAAUUUAUUGGGAUACUAUUAUUUUAUGAAGUAUUUGUUUUUAAUUAUAUUUUUCAUUUAUUUCAAACUUUCAUGUGUAUAUAUAUUAUUUUAAACUUAUUUUAAUAUAUAAUUUCCCUUCUUUUAUGUUACUUUUUUUGUUUUUGUUAUUUAAAAAAAAAACUUGUUACAUUUUAUUUAAUUCGCUUGUUACCCUUUUUUAAUAAUAACUUUUUAAUUCAUUUUGCUUGCUAAUAUGGAUGUUAGUAUUUGCAUAAUGUAGGAUAUAAAAUUGUUGCUCUUUUGUAUAUGAUAUUGUUUAUUCAUAUAUUAAAUUUUUGUUAUUCAUUAGUGUAUGCUUUAGUUUACGAAUAAUCAAUUCGCAUAGUACAUUAUUAUACGAUCGUUUUUAUUUAUUCAAAAGAUUACAAAUUACAAAGUUAUUCUAUUCAAAAACUUUCAAAAAUACUCGAAGUUUGAAAUCCUCGAGAGAAUUGAGCCCUAACGUAUUGGGUUCCAAUUUUCUUCGUCGAAUCUAAAUAAUUGAACAUUUUUUAACAUACAAAUUUCAAAUAACCCAUUCUCGGGAAUUCAACACGUUGUGUCCUAACGUAUUGGAUAUGACAUGUUAUUUUCUCGAGAUGAGGAUUUUAAAAAAAUAAUAAAUAAAGGCAAUGUUCGGUAUUUGGGAAUUUGGUGAAAUCGAACCCUAACUUACUGGGUUUUGAUCUUCUCUUUUGGCCCAAAUAAUUAGAUAUCCUUCUCAAAAUGCAUAGUUUUAAAAAUCAAAUUUAACUUCAAAAUAAAAGGAUUGUAUUUUAAAAUUUUUUCAAAAUCUCGACAUUAAGACAUUGAACAAUCAAUUUGGUACCAAUUUUGGGCGUAUCGAGGGUGCUAAUCCUUCCUCGUGCGUAACCGACUCCCGAACCUGUUUUUUUGAAUUUCGUAGACCAAAACCGUUGUUUUAAUAAAAUCAAAUCGUUUAUUAAAAACAACCACUUUUUAAGGUGAUCCGAUCACACCUUAUCAAAAAAAGAUUGGUGGCGACUCCCUUUUUCCGUUUUCGUUUUCAAAAUCCAAGUCGACCCCGUUUUCAUCAAAGAAAUGGUGUCUACAAAAUGAAUUGUUGAAUUUGAAAACAAUGGUUUAAUAUUGCAGGGAUUUCCAGCAUUAUCAUAAAUUUUAGUGAAUUUAGAGACGAAAUCAGAGUUCCACUGAGUUUUGUUCAAAUCUGGGGAUUUCAUCGUCAUAUAGGGUCGAUUUGGAUAUCUAGGAUACAAAGCUUCAUAUCAUUGAUGUUCGAUGGCCAUGGGUAUAUGUUGAUUUUGAGUUUAUCGUUGCCCCAUAAGUUGGUUGCACUAAAAAAAAUGGGUAUUACCAAUGCUAAAAAUUGUUACUAAAAUUUUAUUGUAGCAAUAAAAGUUGUUGCGGGAUUGUUGUGUAUAUUUUCGUUGUUUAAAGUAUACGCAACUCUACUCAAUUAUGUAAUAUCUACUCUUAAAUAUGGUCUAUUUAACUACAUAUUUAAGCACAUCAAACACAAAUUAAUAAUUUAGAAAUAUCAAACCAAGAAUUAAUCACACAUAAUUGGGAACAAUAAACUAAGUAUUUAUUGCAUAAAAUAAAAAAAUGAUAGAAUCCAUCAUAGGGUUCAUUUCCCUAGGUAUUUAGAAAAUUAGUUCAAGCUUGAAAAUAAAAACAUCCAAGAUAUAGUAUAACCGAAAGAAAUAAAAAAAUUCAUGAUAAUCUCCUAGGAAAUCAACUGAGAAUCUUCAAUCUUGACGUAAAUUUGUUUUCAAGAUGGCUUCAAUGGCAUUUUUCGAGUUGCUUUCUUGAAUAUUUUAUGACGGCUCUCUCAUAUAUCUUCUUAAUUUUUCACAUAUACGUUUCAUAAUGCCCCAAAAAUCUAAAAAUCUUGAUUUUACAUUGUUUGUGUGGCAAUUCCAUGAAAUUGACAUAGCCUACCACACACUCGUGUGGGUCACAUGACUAUGUGGUUUGCUCAUGUGAAAUUUAGAAAAUGUAAAAGAUUCAAAUAUGUAUGCAUCCGUAUAUUGCAUAUAUUGUUGGGAUGUUAGACAAACAUUUAAGCAACUCUAGUAUAGGCCAUUAGAUAACAACCAAGAGGGUUAUGAGGUAUCUUUAGAAAACAAAAUAUUACAUGCUCACAUAUUGGAUGUUUGAUAAGUUAGAGAACAUCAAGUAUACAAACUCCAAUUUUGAUGAAAUAUUGAUGCAAAAUUUUGUCACUAGAGUGCAAAUUGUAACAAUAGUUAGUAGUCUUUUAUUCCAAUUGUACAAGCCCAAAUUUGCCCGAGGCCCAAAAACCCAAUACACCCAAACCUCAGCCUAAUUACAAUAUUUAACUCAGCAGACCCAACCCAACACCGAUGACCCAAACCUCAAUCCAAUAGCACCUAGCCCAACAAGAUUAAACCCAAACCCGAGGCCCAAUAUCCAACCCAAAAAAAAUGAAGGCCCAGUAGCCCAAAAUGUUUGAGACUUUUUCAGAAAAAAUGAAACCCUAGCCUACUGCCUAACCCUAGCCGCCUUUGCCUCCUCUGACAUCUUCUAGUCUGGCUGCCGCUCGUAGCCUCUGCCACCGCCACCUCUGACGCCGAGCCGCCCAUCAAUCACCUACUCCAUCAACGUCAACACCUGCAAACAAGAGAAAAAGCAAUAGCAAAUAAUAGCAAAAAUAUUGUAAAAAAUGGCUAUAAAGCCAUAACCACCACUGUAAACGGGGUUCUUCCCCCCCUCCCCCCGAUUUUUGUAUAAAAAAAUAUUAGCAGGGAAAUAAAGGAAAAAAGAUUGAAGGUGAUUUUUUCUUUUCUUUUCUUUUCGGUUUUGUAGACCCGUUUUUCUGUUCUCUUUUCUUUUUUCGUUUACACGUAUGUAAAUAAAGGUAGUAAAUAAAAGGAAAGAAUGAAGACUUACCCAUUUCGCCUUUCGGUUACGCCGCCGUCGGGGUCUGCUCAUAAUUGAAAUCGGCCCGAAAGGUCGAGUUAGGGGGUCCUUUGUCUUGAUUUUCGGGCCAAACGAAUCUAGCCUUCGAUUGGGUCUUAAAACGGGGACUAGAAUGCCCAUUUUGCGCAACGCCGGCCACCGUCCACGAUGGCGCUAUGGCGGUGCUAAGAAGACCCAAAGGCCGAACGUUUGAGAGGGAUGAGGAAAUGUUUUUUUUGUUUUUUUUUAAAAUUAGUGGCUGAUAUGUUUUUUUUUUUGAAGAAAAUAUGGCUUAAAUACUAUUUUCGAAAUAGCAUAGUUUCAAUUUGGCCCUCCAGAUGCCAAAACGGCGUCGUUUUGAAAGGGGCCGGUUCUACUCGACCCGUUUGGCCAGGAUCCGCGUGUUUUAGCCUUGAGGGGUUAUUUAUGCGGGGAGUCCCUCCGCUUCUGCAGCGUAGCCGAUAUGAUCCUUUUUGGUCUUUUUGUUAUUUGGCCCGCGAAUUUUGCCUCUAUUUCGAUUUGGUCCUUAGACCAUGUGCUGCCCCUAGUCGAAACGCAGCAUUUUAGGACUGGGAAAUAUUUCCCCACAAGUCCCUCACGCUUUAAGCGCGUUUUACUUCAGUCAUGCACUAUUCCUUUUGUUUGUUUGCAUAUUUAAACCCCGAAGUUCGUUUCAAGUUUUAAUUUAGUCCUUUUGUAUUUUGUUUAUUUUCUUAUUAAGUAAUAAAUUUGAUGUUAUACUGUUAUUAUUAAUUAUAAUAAAUAUUAUUUGCUCAUUUUUACCUUUAGAAUUUCAAAUUUUAUCAUAUAUAUUUGUAUAUACUUAUUUUGAUAUUUUAUAAUUUAUAUCUAUAUAUCUAUAUACAUAUUUAUACAUAUAUACACAUACCUAUAUGUUUUAUAUUUUCAUAUAGUUUUUAUAUACAUAUAUAUUCUUAUAUGCACAUGCUUAUGUUUUUUUAUACUUUAUAUAUAUAUAUAUAUAUACACCUAAACAUGCAUAUUUUUUUAUAUGUACAUACAUUCAUAUAUUUUAUAAUUUAAGUACAUAUACAUAUAUAUGUACAUAAACUUUAUUAUUAUUAUUAUUUUGUAAUUUAUAUUGUUAUUAAUUGUUUUAUUUGAUAUUUAUUUAUUUGCUCAUCUUUAUUUUUAUGAAAUGCUUUAGUUCUUUUUACAUUAUUUUUAUGAAAUGCUUUAGUUCUUUUUACUUACUCAUUAUUUCAUGUAUAAUUGUUUUUUUUAUAUAUGUGUCCUUUUUAUUGUUGCUCGUAUUAUUUUACUUACAUUAUCAUAAUUGUCAUUCCAUUACGUCAAUUUUCACCCAAAUUCAAAAAAAAAAAUUUUAAAAAUAUAAAUAAUACUCGGUAUUUGGGAUCUUCGAGAGAAUCGAGCCCUAACGUAUUGGGUUCCGAUUUUCUUCGUUGAAUCUAAAUAAUCGAGACUACUCUUUUUUAUAUAUAAAAAAACAUAAAUAAAAGCUCAUUAUCGGGAAUUCAAUACGUUGUGUCCUAACGCAUUGGAUAUGAUACAUUGUUUUCUCGAGAUGAGGAUUUUUCUAAAAAAAUAAAAAUAAGGCAAUGUUUUGAGUUUGGGAAAUUCAAGAAAACGUGCCCUAAUGUGCUGGGUUUCGAUUUCUCGUUUAGCCAAAUAUUCUCUUAAAUCUUAAUCUAUGUCAUUUAAGUUUUUUUAGGAUUGUAUUUUAAAUCUCUUUAAAGUUUUCAGUUUUUCGACACUAAGAUAUUAAGUAAUCAACUAGGUACCAAUUUUGGGCGUAUCGAGGGUGCUAAUCCUUCCUCGUGCAUAACCGACUCCCGAACCCAUUUUUCUAAAUUUCGUGGACCAAACUUGUUGUUUUAAUAAAAUCAAAUCAUUUAUUAAAACAACCACUUUUUGAGGUGAUCCGAUCACACCUUAUCAAAAAAGAUUGGUGGCGACUCCCACUUUCGUUUUCAUUUUUCAAAACCCAAGUCGACCCCGUUUUAUCAAAAAAAUGGUGCCAACAGCUUGGCGACUCCACUGGGGACCCAAGAACGAGAGUCAAGCCACGAGUUGAUUAUUUUUUUAUUUUUUUGUCGAAAAUCAAAAAAUUGGUUUAAACAUACGAUCCUUUCGUUGCAUUUCAUUCGUCUUUAUUAUGAUCUUCAUCAUUAUAGUUUAUAAUUGUUGUGUUAGUUUAAGUUUUGGUAUCAAUCUGUACAUUGCAUUGCAUAACCGUUGGUCACACCCUUCUUAGUGGGAGUGAGAAACUACGCUUUCGUGAGGUUUUCACCUCCGCAUAGGAUAGUGAAUCGCUUCUGGUAUAUAUCCGUACCUAUGUUUUCGUGAGAUUUUCAUCUCCGCAUGGCCAUAGGGAAAUGUAUUCCCCUGAACUGAACUCAGUCUGCAUGAGCCUAUAAUGGGUCAGGACCGAGGAAUCUGCUGGUUCAGGUACCCUUACUUUAGAGCCGAACAGCAUGUAAUGAGCCCUAGGAGCCUACCCUAGGUAGAACCACACCAAAUACCUAGAGGUCACCUGAAAACUUGGUUUAAAUUUACGAUCAUUUUGUUGUAUUUCGUCCGUUUUGGUAUGAUUUUCAUUACUUCGGUUUGUAAUUACUCUAUUGGUUUGAAUUCUCGAUAUGUUUCUGCGCAUUGCAUUACAUGACCACUCAGUUACACCCUUUUAAGUUUGAGUGAGAAGCUACUCCUUCGUGAGGUUUUCACCUCUGUGCAGGAUAGUGGAUCACUUUUGGGAUACAUCUGUACCUAUGUCUUCGUGAGAUUUUCAUCUCCGUGCAGCCAUAGGGAAAUGUAUUCCCCUGAACCGAACUCGGUCCGUAUGAGCCUAUAAUGGGUGAAGAUCGAGGAAUCGGCUGGUUUGGGUACCCUUGCUUUAGAACCAAACCACAUGUAGAAGACCUUAGGAGCCCACCCUAGGUAUAACUACUUUGAACCCCUAGUAGUUACCCUAAUAUGUGCUCUUUUUGUUUUUUUUUCUUGUUUACUUUUGCUUUGUACUAACCUGUUUUGUUUUGGUUAUAACUGCAUUGCAUUUUCAUCAUAGAAAAGAGGUGUUGAUUCAAAUUUGAUUGCUAAAUAGAAAAGCUUGUCAUGGAAAACGAAUUUCUUGAUAAAGUAGAAUAUGAUGCGACUGUCUGAUUAUGGACUAAUUAAACACAACAAGAGAAGGUUAGAAGUUUGUGGAGGAAUAUACGACUAUGCUUCACUGCCUGAGGAUUCAAACCGACAAAGAUCAUUCGAGAGUGGUCACGAAACUAAAGAGCAUCGUAAGGGAGCAAUGGGUCGUGGCUCAGAUCAAUCAAAAAAGAAGAUAGUAAAGGUAAAUUUUGGGAAAUUCGCAAGAUUUGAUCCUAACAUCUGGAUAUGAAGAAAAGAUCGAUGUAUUCGCCAGGAAUAUGGGGGCAAAGCAGCAGAUGUAAUCUAUUUUAUGUAAAGAAAUUUGUUCUCUAGAAAAGUUGUUCUAAUGGAAUUGAAUUAGGAAUCAAUGCCUCUCUUUCUUUUUGCAUUCAUUUCACGCAUUUGUAUUACAUAACAUCACAUGCAUUAAGGACCAUCAAAAGACUCUAAUUGAGUAAAAUGAUUUCAGCUAAUCUAGAGAACCAACACCCUUACGGAAUUCGAGCAAAAACUAAAAGAAUGGACCAAAGAUUGGAGAGAUUAAAGCAAAGGCAAAUACAGAUGCAAGAGCAAUUUACCAAAUUUCAACAAGAUAUGAAGGAUCAGAUGCUAGAAGUCCAAAGAAAUCUAAUAAGUCAGUUAACCCAGUUAUUGGAUAGAGGGUUAGAAAAAGGAAAAAACCCAGUGGUCCACUUUGGAGAUAAUGAUGAAGACCCUGCUCAUUUUCUAGGUUUUACCCCAACAAACCUCCAAGCACAACCGAAUGCAUGUCCACAAAAGGUAAAUGUUAACAUCCGACCACAAUACCAGACCAGUACCUCGACACCGGUGAAUUUCACGACAGGCUCAGGUUACAACCUUAGGGGAAAUCUAACUAGUCCCGUUGUCCUUGAUGAUCUAGCGGGAACAAAACAGGUGAGAGUAGAGCUCUCAAAACCAUUUGGAGAUCGUUACAAACAGAAAGGGCAAGAGUGGAAUCCUCAAAUCAAUACUUCGAGGGCCCCGAGGAAGAGGAAAGAUGACGUGAAUGAUGUGAGUAGGUAUAAUGAGGGUUAUUCAAAGCUGAUUACAACAAGCCAGAAAAGGACGGUUGAUUCUAGCCAUCAGAUCUCCCAGAGCAAGAAUUCGGCACAAAGAAAAACAUUGAGAAGUCCAAAUUUGUACCAAUCCCAAUGUCAUUUCGGGAGCUGUAUCAUAAUUUAUUUAACGCACACAUCGCCUCCCCUUUCUACUUGAAGCCUUUACAACCUCCGUACCCUAAAUGGUACGAAACGAAUGCACAAUGUGACUAUCAUGCAGGAAUUACGGGGCAUUCAAUAAAAGAUUGCGUUACCUUUAAAAAGGUGGUUGAAAGGCUCAUCAGUAUAGGCAUUGUCAAGUUCGAUACAAAAAAAUCUGCUGCCUAAUCAUAUUGAUAAUCGGGGUGAAUGCGAUGAAUGAGGAAAUAUUAGGAAACGUUCAAAUUAACGCUGUGCGAAGAAACAACUGAAGAAUGGACCUUGUUAGAUAUUUACCCGUACAUACUUAGGGGUGUUUUGAGCAAUGGGACUGUGGAAGAGAUCCCUGUAUUUUGUAGAGCUAAUUCUGAGUAAUAUCCAAAACACGCUUAUUGCUUUAAGCCUAGGGGCAAUAAGAAUCCUUUUGUGAGAUAGGCUUAUGUCCAACAUCUUUAUUUCAAUAAAAUGCAUCUUUGUUUCUCACUUCGAGCAAAUUUUUAUUCUUAGAUUCUUUUAUUCUUUGGAUAUACUUUCGUCCCUAUAAUAGGUCUUCAGAUAUCAAUGAUAUGAGCGACACUGCUAUUGACUCAGAACCUCCUUUUGAGCAAGAUAUGUGUCCAGAUUAAACUUCAAGACUUUGGAGAUAACUGAGACUGUAGCUUAUCUCUUAGUUUGUUAAGGACGGGAGAACAAGAUCCUACCUUACAAAGAAUCAAUGGAAGCCAUGGCCUUUCUCUGGAUGGGGCACGGAUGUCAUUAGGCCAAUCUCGCCUAAGGUUUUUGACGGCUAUCUUUAUAGUCAUCGAUUACUUAACCAAGUGGGCAGAAGUUGCUUCAUAUGUCAAUGUCGCAAAGUUAACAGUUUGUAAAUUCUUGAAAAAUCAUAUGUCAGUAUGGAAUGUCAAAAAGGAACAUAUCUGACAAUAUACUAAAAGUGAACAACGACACAAUAUCAGAAGUUUGCAGUCUGUUCAAGGUUAACACAUUUUGCCCUAGAAUGCACGGUGCAGUGGGAGCAAAAACAAAACAAAAAAGAGGAAAAAUUACUGCAAUGGCAACACAUUGGCUUAGCGCAGUUUUGCUCAUUGAGGUCAAGAUUCCUUCCCUCCGAGUGUUGGAUCAGAUCCCGAUUGAAGAGAAAUGUUCAAAGUUAUCCGUCUGGGUCAAAUACACCAAAAACAAAAGAUGCGAGCUCACCAAAGAAGGUUCACCCUAAAGAGUUCCAUGAAUGGAACCUAACAUCGAAGAAAAUCCUCCCCAUACAAAAAGGACUUUAUAAGAAAGAGGAUCUGAAAAAGUGUUGAUUUCGACCAGAAAGGAUAGCAAGGACUUACCUAAUCCUAUGAGUGCGGAUUCAAUCAAAGAAUGUAAAAAACAAACAAACAAACAAACGAAAAGAGAAAGAAAAGAAAAGAAGAAUGAAAAAAGAAAAAGGAGAGGCCAAGAUGAAAACCCGCAAAGGGCGCCUUGAGACCAAAGGGGUUUUGAAUUGAAAACCCAGGAAUGAGUAGUUCAAAUUUUGAUCAAAGGUGGGGCAUACGGUGGCCUUGUCCUUUCUGAAUUAGCAAGAAGGUGAGACGCUACAUCUCAGGCCAUCAACAAAGUCUUUUAGGGCUUCUAGACACAUAUCAAGUUCAAAAGAGUCCUCAAGAAGCUUAUACAGAAAAGCUCAUGCUGCGAUAUCUGGGGCACCUGUUUCCAUUUUAUUCAUUUUUAUUUUGGCAAAAUAUGCCAUCUUGAUUAAUUUAUUCUCAUUUCGUAUCUUAGCAAAUUUACUAUCUUGAUUAUUUAUUUCAAGCUUUGUUCUUAAUAAAAUUUCAUCUUGUCCAUUGUGAUAAUCCUUUUCAUCUUAUUCAUUUUGAAUCUUAGCAAAAUUCGCUGUUCUGCUUAAUUUAUUUGUUUAGAGCUCUGCUCUCAAUAAAAUUUCAUCUUUCCCACUAUGAUAAUCUUUUUCAUCUUAUCUUAGCAAAAUUUGUUAUCUUGAUUAAUUUAUUCAUUUUGAGCUUUGUUCUUAAUAAAAUUUCAUCUUAUCCAUAUUGAUAAUCUUUUUCAAGCAUUUUACAUUGAAAUAACGAUUAAUUGACUGAAUAUUCAAGCAAAAGGAGUUUUGCAUAUUACUCUGAAAGUUUCUAAAUAAUACAGGAACCUGAAAUAGGACUAUUGUUUAGAGCAUACCAAGUUUAAAGGGUGAAAUGUCUAAGAAGGAAAAGUCUAAAUUAAGACUAUCCUUUCGAACUUUGUUGUCCAAGCAUGAAUUGAACAAAACGAAAAAAUGUCGAGAUGGUGACAAAGUUUCAAUGAACAAACGAGCAAUGAUCACCGAGUGAUAAAAAGAGGUUUUUGGAAGAGAAAAUUCCACAAUCGUGCAUAAACAUUUGGUAUGACACCUUGGGAAUGGUGUAGAAGACCAAAGAGAUUCAGAUACUGUAUCCCUGAAUUACAGUGGGAGAGGAUUGAGAAAAGUCAGAUCUUAUACUCAGUGGGAGGAAGAUGGCUCGAAUUUUAUGCCCCAAAAUUACCAUGGACUUAACCUUGAAGAUUACAACGGAUUGAACUCUGAAGAUUACAGUAGGGGGCAAUCUGGCUAAGUAAGAGAUGAGUGUUACCAGCUGAGCAAGAUAGCAUUCUGAUAUGUUGGUAAUAAAACCUUAUUGAAUAACGAGCAAUAACAACCCUAACAUUAAAAAGGGAUCAUUCUCAUGACAUUCUGCAUUCAUGCAAAUAUAAUUCACAUACACACCUAGUUAGGAGCAUUUGAUUCGUUCUGAUCAUAAUAUCCUAAUCAUUAGGCAUAAAUAGAUUCAUAAAAUGGACUUUACAGGUCAUGUUCCCCAGAGAACAUAUUAAUAAAGUUACCCAUACCCCUAAAGUUGCAAUGGGAUGAAUUGAAGUUGUCAUAUCAAGUCUUAUCUCUCAGAAAUUACAGAGGAGUGGACUAGAGAUAGCAGAUCUUAUCUUCCUGUAUUUGGCAGCGAAGUAGAUCGUAGAUAGCAGAUCUUGUCUUCCUGUAUUUGGCAGCGAAGUAGAUCGUAGAUAGCAGAUCUUGUUUUCCUGUAUUUGGCAGCAGAGUAGAUCAUAGAUAGCAGAUCUUGUCUUCUUAUAUUUGGCAGCGGAAUAGAUCGAAGAUAGCAGAUCUUGCCUUCCUGUAUUUGGCAGCGAAGCGUAGAUAGCAGAUCUUGUCUUUCUGUAUUUGGCAGCGAAGUAGAUCGUAGAUAACAGAUCUUGUCUUCCUGUAUUUGGUAGAGGAGUAGAUCAUAGAUAGCAGAUCUUGUCUUCUUGUAUUUGGCAGCAGAGUAGAUCGAAGAUAGCAGAUAUUGUCUUCCUGUAUUUGGCAGCGAAGUAGAUUGAAGAUAACAGAUCUUGUCUUCCUGUAUUUGGCAAUAGAGUAGAUCGUAGAUAGUAGAUCUUGUCUUCCUGUAUUUGGCAGUGGAGUAGGUUAAAAAUUACUGAUUCUGUCACCUUAAGCAGUAGUGGAGCAGAUUAAAAGGAUGGAUCUUAUCUCUCCGAAGUUGCAGUAGAACAGAUCGCAUCAAACUUUAUUGAAGCUACAAGUCUUAUCUCACUGAGGUUGCAGUAGAAUAGACUGAAGAUAGCAGAUAUUAUCUCUCUGGAGUUGCAGUAGAGCAGACCACCAUGAUUUUAUCUCCCUAAAGUUGCAAUGGAGUGUACCAAAAUAAUAAAUCCUAUACCUCUGAAGUUGCAGUAGGUCGGACUAAAUCUACCAUAACAAAUCCUAUCUCCCUGAAGAUGCAGUGGAGCAAAUUGAAGACCGACUACAAGUCUUAUCUCCCUGAAGUUGUAGUGGAGCAGACUGUCGAUAACGGAUCUUAUCAUAUUAAAACCUUAUCUUCUUGAAGUUACGUGAAGCAGGUUGAAGCAACAAGUCUUAUCUCCCUGACGUUGCAGUAGAGUAGAUUAAAACCACGGAUCUCGUCCCCCUGAAGUUGCAAUAGAAUGGAUUGAAGCUACGAGCUGUAUCUCUCUGAAGUGCAGUGGAGUGGAUUGAAGCAACAAGACACAGUGGAUUGGAAUGAGGCUACCUGAAGAAGAGAAGCACUAGAAGAAGUCAAGACUCGGCGAGACCGGGUAAAUUUGGUCUUUCUUGGUCUUUGCUCUAUUCUCAUUACACGACAACGAGGAAAGAGGGGCAGCUGUACAAGCCCAAAUUUGCCCGGGGCCCAAGAACCCAAUGCACCCAAACCUCAGCUUAAUUACAAAUUUAACUCAGCAGACCCAACCCACCUAAACACCAACCCAACACCCAUGACCCAAACCUCAAUCCAAUAACACCUAGCCCAACAAGAUUAAACCCAAACCCGAGGCCCAAUAUCCAACCAAAAAAAAAUGAAGGCCCAGUAGCCCAACAUGUUUGAGACUUUUUCAGAAAAAAUGAAACCCUAGCCUACUGCCUAACCCUAGCCGCCUCUGCCUCCUCUAACAUCUUCUAGUAUGGCCGCCGCUCGUAGCCUCUGCCACCACCACCUUUGACGCCGAGCCGCCCGUCAAUCACCUACUCCAUCAACGUCAACACCUGCAAACAAGAGAAAAAGCAAUAGCAAAUAAUAGCAAAAAUAUUGUAAAAAAUGGCUAUAAAGCCAUAACCACCACUGUAAAUGGGGUACUCCCUCCCCCCCCGAUUUUUGUAUAAAAAAAUAUUAGCAGGGAAAUAAAGAAAAAAAGAUUGAAGGUGAUUUUUUCUUUUCUUUUCUUUUCGAUUUUGUAGACCCGUUUUUCUGUUCUCUUUUCUUUUUUCGUUUACACGUAUGUAAAUAAAGGUAGUAAAUAAAAGGAAAGAAUGAAGACUUACCCAUUUCGCCUUUCAGUUGCGCCGCCGUCGGGGUCUGCUCAUCGUUGAAAUCGGCCCCGAAAGGUCGAGUUAGGGGGUCCUUCGUCUUGAUUUUUGGGCCAAACGAAUAUAGCCUUCGAUUGGGUCUUAAAACGGGGACUAGAAUGCCCAUUUUGCGCAACGCCGGCCACUGUCCACGGUAGCGCUAUGGCGGCGCUAAGAAGACCCAAAGGCCGAACGUUUGAGAGGGAUGAGGAAAGGUUUUUUUUUGUUUUUUUUUAAAUUAGUGGCUGAAAUGUUUUAUAUUUUCAUAUAGUUUUUAUAUACAUAUAUAUAUAUAUUCUUAUAUGCACAUACUUAUGUUUUUUUUAUACUUUAUAUAUAUAUACACCUAAACAUGCAUACUUUUUUANNNNNNNNNNNNNNNNNNNNNNNNNNNNNNNNNNNNNNNNNNNNNNNNNNNNNNNNNNNNNNNNNNNNNNNNNNNNNNNNNNNNNNNNNNNNNNNNNNNNAAUUUAUAUUGUUAUUAAUUGUUUUAUUUGAUAUUUAUUUAUUUGCUUAUCAUUAUUUUUAUGAAAUGCUUUAGUUCUUUUUACUUACUCAUUAUUUCAUGUAUAAUUUUUUUUAUAUAUGUGUCCUUUUUAUUGUUGCUCGUAUUAUUUUACUUACAUUAUCAUAAUUGUCAUUCCAUUACGUUAAUUUUCACCCAGAUUCAAAAAAAGAAAUUUUAAAAAUAUAAAUAAUACUCGGUAUUUGGGAUCUUCGAGAGAAUCGAGUCCUAACGUAUUGGGUUCCGAUUUUCUUCGUUGAAUCUAAAUAAUUGAGACUACUCUUUUUUUAUAUAUAUAAAAAAACAUAAAUAAAAGCUCAUUAUCGGGAAUUCAAUACGUUGUGUCCUAACGCAUUGGAUAUGAUACAUUGUUUUCUCGAGAUGAGGAUUUUUCUAAAAAAAUAAAAAUAAGGCAAUGUUUUGAGUUUGGGAAAUUCGAGAAAACGUGCCCUAAUGUGCUGGGUUUCGAUUUCUCGUUUAGCCAAAUAUUCUCUUAAAUCUUAAUCUAUGUCAUUUAAGUUUUUUUAGGAUCGUAUUUUAAAUCUCUUUAAAGUUUUCAGUUUUUCGACGCUAAGACAUUAAGUAAUCAACUAGGUACCAAUUUUGGGCGUAUCGAGCGUGCUAAUCCUUCCUCGUGCGUAACCGACUCCCGAACCCGUUUUUCUGAAUUUCGUGGACCAAACUUGUUGUUUUAAUAAAAUCAAAUCAUUUAUUAAAACAACCACUUUUUGAGGUGAUCCGAUCACACCUUAUCAAAAAAGAUUGGUGGCGACUCCCACUUUCGUUUUCAUUUUUCAAAACCCAAGUCGACCCCUUUUUAUCAAAAAAAUGGUGUCAACAACAAUAACAAUAGAAGCACAUCAAAGUCAAAGCACAUAGGCUUUAAGUUCAUUGUUAUUAUAAUAAAAGUUCAGGGUGGUUAGAUGUCUAUAAAGUAUAUUGAGACGAACUCCAUGAUUACGGAUUCGCUUAUUAAGUGACUACCACCCAAAGUUUUUUUCCUGAGCACACUGUUGAUAUGGGUGUAAUGUCAUUUAAGAAUAUUUGAUUUUAGUAGGAGUUUGUACUUUUAAAUGUUUUUAUGUUAUAAACACAUUUUCAAUUAUUUUAGUUUACGAAUAUUAAGUUUAUUUUUUAUAGAAAUAAAGUUUUUUUGGUAAAGUUUGAUCUCACUAAGGUUAAUAAGGACCAGUUAGAAUAUGCAUGUUUGAAUCAUAUUACAUAUAAUUUUCAUGUUACACAUCCAUACUUGAUCUAUGUCAUUUGGUUGUGCUAAUAUAUGUGAUUAGGGAUGUAUUUAAUUAUGAUAUAUGUAACAAAAGUUGCAUUCGUUCUAUGUUAACAUAAUUAAUGGACGAGAUUGUUCGAAAUAUCUUUUGGAUAUGAUAGUAAAAUUUUGAGCUCAUAAGAUUAUAUAAUAACAUGUAAUUAUAAAGUAAUCGGUAUAUAUCAAAAGUCUUUCCCACAUUCAUCAACUAGAAAUCAGAGCUCACCAAAUGUCUAUUCUUUUCAAUCUGAACCGACUCUACAAUCACUUAUUGCUCAUGGUCAUCAGCCUAUAAACCCAGGAGCAUUGUUAACUUCUAAAUCCAAAACACUAAUAUCAGCAUCCAACCCUACAAUGAUAGUCUUAUUGACUCAUUUAAACAAGUUUCCUUUGUCAAUCUAUAUUCCGUAUUUGGUAAUCUCCAGUAUGAAUUCAGAAUUUAGGAUAGCUGGAAUAAGAAUAGCAGCAAAGAUGCAAAGGGAAACGACUUGUAGGAGGAGGAAGAACCUUCUUUUGGGUACAGACCUGUAUAGCAUAUAAUAGGAUGUCCUGUAUAAUGUCACGAGAGCUAGUACCGUUGCCAAGCAGUAAUUAGUAAUGCUGAGUCUAGAAUAGGAAACGGAUCCAGGAGUCGAAAGAGAGAAAAAAUACUGAAGUUCGAGUGUCCGUAUGGAAACAGCAACUAAAAGCAUGUAACAGGUCCCAAACAAGGAAAGUGUUAUGAGAAUAAACAAGCAGAUUGAACGGCUGGGUAGGAGAUAGGCAGUUAAAACAGUUGCUGCCCAAAAGGUUAAAGUGUUGUAUAACCAAAACAUUGUGGACACGUCUAGUAUAUUUUUUAAAUCUUCUUUUUCAGCGGGUGGAGGACUUGGUACGGGUCCAGUGCUGGUUGAACCUAAAGAUGCGUCAUACAUGAGAUGGAAAUUCUGGGAAUUUGAAAUGGUAUCAGGCUGCUUUGGAGGGUUCAAAGUGGCAGUAUAUGUGGCUGUUAUAAUUAGCACUGUGACUACUAAAAAUGUGUUACGCAUCUCAUAUGGGAUUCCCUUCUUUCCACGACUUGCUAUUGUUGCAAAAUUUUGAAGAACUGACACCUUUCCUUUUAAAUAUGCGAUGUGGAAUGAAGAGAUGGAGGUUUUGGGAAGCGAGGAAGAGGAACCACUCAAACCUCCUGCUUUGCUUAUCAUGUCUUUAAUGGACUCCUUAUAGUCCACUUUCUCUUCAUCCAAUGUGUAUUGUGAUGGGAUAUCAAGUGCAGUCAAUCCCUCCGCAUUUUUGGCAUUGAUAUGGUCACCACACAAGCGUUCCAGCAGUACUUUUACCACCUGUUAAUUAGAAUAUUCAUACAAGUAACCUUUGAGUAUAUAUAUACAUAAAAAAUUUCACUAGCAAAAUUAUCAUACCUGAGGUCUAUUUCUGAUAGCAGCAACAUGUAAAACAGUGUUGCCAUCAAUGUCUGCCCAACUCAGUAGUUCUUUCUCCCAACGGCUGGCAGCUUUAUGGCGGCUCCUUAUAAGCCACCCCACCAAGACUUGGAAAGCUUCAAACCUGUCAUUUUUUACGGCAAGAUGGAAAACCGUCUCAUCUCGAACAGUCAUAUCUUCAAUAGCCUCGGGGCAAACCUCAAGGAACUUGAUCAAAAAAUCAACAUUUCCAUUUUGAACCACAUCAUGCAAAGGAGUCAAGCCCUCCCGCCCUUUGACACGAGCAAGGCCUUCAUCAAACCUGAGGAGUCGAAGCACUGUUUGAGUUUUUUGAUUUUGCAGAGCCAAGUGCAUGGGGCUAAACCCAGCUUGGUUUAGCUUUCUUGCAAACGAUGGCUUUAAGUUGAUCAUCUCCAUCAUAAAAUCAAUAUGCCCUGCAGAGGCUGCUACAUGCAAAGGAGUAUGGAAAAAAGGUACAUCAUCGAUACGCUGUAAAGCAUAUGGAUCAUUCAGAAUUAACUCAUACAAGAUGUUUAUGUCUCCUGUUUGUGCAGCCCCCUUCAUCCUCUCAUCCAUAGCAAGGUGCGGAAAUUUGCAGAAUAUAGAAAUGGAGUGAAGAAAAAACGCUUUAGCAGAGGAUAUGAUUAUGUUAAGGAUA
rnacentral:lncRNA from 1 species